CAGAGCUGCCGGCUUCCCCUUGAAGGAAUAGGAGUAGACCUGCUGAACUAUCACAUGAGAGAAGAGGCCCAAAAGCUUGCACACUACAGUCAAGCUGGCCCUUAAAGAGAUGGACCUAGAAGAUGCUGAGCCAGAUGUACUCAAUUACUUCUCCAAAAUUCAUCAAUUAGAACUGCUUCUUGCUGCCGCCAUAUGAAGAAGGACGUGUUCGCUUCCCCUUCCUCCAUGAUUGUAAGUUUCCUGAGACCUCGCCAGCCAUGCUGAACUGAAUACAACAUGUUUAAGACCACAGAACAUCUGCAUAGGCUGUAAAUUUCGUUGAAUGAUGGAUGCAAAGAUGGAAGACAGAUGGAUAGAGGAAAAGACAGAAUCAGAUACUGGAUGAGUUAGUACUGCUGCCUGUGCUUCAGAGCUGUCUUAUUACCACAAGGCCGGCAAGCAUCAAUGUCCCCACAUCCCCCUCUGCCUCCCCCUGAAAUGUACCGAUUUAUAUGAAAAUUAAGAUUACAAAUUAAAGCCUGGCUAUCCUGGAGUUUUCCAGUUCAUCAGCCAUCC
rnacentral:lncRNA from 10 species